rnacentral:rRNA from 1 species
UCUACCACCGGGAUGUUCAUAACCCUUUGUUGUCCGACUCUGUUGCCUCCGGGGCGACCCUGCCUUCGGGCGGGGGCUCCGGGUGGACACUUCAAACUCUUGCGUAACUUUGCAGUCUGAGUAAACUUAAUUAAUAAAUUAAAACUUUUAACAACGGAUCUCUUGGUUCUGGCAUCGAUGAAGAACGCAGCGAAAUGCGAUAAGUAAUGUGAAUUGCAGAAUUCAGUGAAUCAUCGAAUCUUUGAACGCACAUUGCGCCCCCUGGUAUUCCGGGGGGCAUGCCUGUUCGAGCGUCAUUUCACCACUCAAGCCUCGCUUGGUAUUGGGCAACGCGGUCCGCCGCGUGCCUCAAAUCGACCGGCUGGGUCUUCUGUCCCCUAAGCGUUGUGGAAACUAUUCGCUAAAGGGUGUUCGGGAGGCUACGCCGUAAAACAACCCCAUUUCUAAGGUUGACCUCGGAUCAGGUAGGGAUACCCGCUGAACUUAAGCAUAUCAAA